ACAGACGGUCUCAACUCACAGGACAAGAAUAUUUGUUUCACUCAGUGUUUACGCCUGUUUUCUUGGAUCACAGACCAAAUUCUCGGAGACUCCGGGGCAUUGGACUAAAUAGGUUUAACCCUCAGUUUCUCACUAAACAAGCAAAAGACAAAAUGACACCACUGCUCAGGAACUAUUACAAUGGAAAACACUUCAGGAUUAUCUGAAACGUUCAUGAAGGUAUUCCAGUCAUUCAGAAAGGUCACAUCCAUUGGUCUGGAUAAACUGCAGAGGGCACACUACUCCACUAUUUUCACUUCCCACUAACCAGCACAGCUACUGGUAUAGACACUUGUAUCAUGUCAGACCUUGUGGGGAGACGGGGCAAAUUGGGUAUUUCAGGCCCUGGCGCGGAGAAGCAUCCCAAUAGCAUGAUGUUGCCACCACCAUGCUUCACAGUAGGGAUGGUGUCCUCAGGAUGAUGCACAGUUUUAGGCUUGUGCCAAACAUAAUGCUUAGCGUUGAGGCCAAAAAGCCUGAUAAGACCAUAGUCUAGGUAAGACUUAAUGUGAGUGGUUUUCUUUUUGAGCCUCUCUCUCAUGAAGUCCACUUUUGUGAAGCACCCGGGCUAUUGUCACAGUUUGCGCAAUAUGUAUGCGAUACAUUAUUUCAUAUUUGUAAUUAAGUUGGAACAAUUUGUUUUUCACUUUGACAUUAUGGACUCCUUUUGGAUCAGUGACUUCCAGUUAUAUUCAUUUUGACGUUAUAACAAUACAAAUGUGGAAAUGUGUAGCAUCUGCCUGCCUCAAUGUGUAGCCUCUGCCUGCCUAGUAGUUAUUUUAGAGCAGCGAAGAUCCUACGCGUUGCAGUGUCUGUCUAACACCUGACUGCCCUGCGUGCGGGGGAGUCUGCCUCGGGCGGUUGUCACAUAGGCCUGCAUGCGCUCUGCCAAUGACGAGAGGGGGAUUCAUGCAGCACACAAGCCUAUCCACAUGCACAUGCCUCCAAUUGCCAUGGAAACAAGCAAGAGCCGAUGCUGGAUGAGUUAUCUGUAUUGUAAUGAGACUGGGCCCAAGCAUAGAAGUGUCAACUGUAAUUGUUUUCCUGUCCAAGGUUAUACUAGAUUCUCUAUAUAUCAAGUCGGCCACACCUCUCUUUUUGGAGGCCAUCCAUCUUAUUUAUUUUCUUGAGUUCCAUCUCUUUUGGGAGUUAUGAACAUGAAAUCUGAUCAAGCAAACACUUGUCUAUUUAACUUGUCUGUUUCGGCCAUAAUUCAUAAUUUUUUGUUUGCUUUCAAUCAAUAAAGAAGCUGAGAGACUAUUCAACAUCAUUCAUCAUUUGUUCUCUAUUAAUAACAUUUUGCUAGCGGGAGUUUAUGUUCAAUGUUCAAUUCAAG
ensembl:lncRNA